rnacentral:rRNA from 1 species
CCUACGGGUGGCAGCAGUGGGGAAUAUUGCACAAUGGGGGGAACCCUGAUGCAGCGACGCCGCGUGAGUGAAGAAGUACUUCGGCAUGUAAAGCCCUAUCAGCAGGGAAGAAGCAAGACGGUACCUGACUAAGAAGCCCCGGCUAACUACGUGCCAGCAGCCGCGGUAAUACGUAGGGGGCGAGCGUUAUCCGGAUUCACUGGGUGUAAAGGGAGCGUAGACGGCCAUGCAAGCCAGGAGUGAAAGCCCAGGGCCCAACCCCGGGACUGCCUUUGGAACUGCAGGGCUGGAGUGCGGGAGGGGCAGGUGGAAUUCCUGGUGUAGCGGUGAAAUGCGUAGAUAUUAGGAGGAACACCAGUGGCGAAGGCGGCUUGCUGGACCGCGACUGACGUUGAGGCUCGAAAGCGUGGGGAGCGAACAGGAUUAGAUACCCUAGUAGUC